rfam:Triticum urartu cultivar G1812 contig699093, whole genome shotgun sequence.
AAUGUACUCCCUCCGUCCGGAAAUACUUGUCAUCAAAAUGGAUAAAAAGAUAUGUAUCUAGAACUAAAAUACAUUUAGAUACAUCCCCUUUUAUCCAUUUUGAUGACAAGUAUUUCCGGACGGAGGGAGUAAAUA